rnacentral:rRNA from 1 species
UACGGGGGGGGCAAGCGUUGUUCGGAAUUACUGGGCGUAAAGGGCGCGUAGGCGGCCAACUAAGUCAGACGUGAAAUCCCUCGGCUUAACCGGGGAACUGCGUCUGAUACUGGAUGGCUAGAGGUUGGGAGAGGGAUGCGGAAUUCCAGGUGUAGCGGUGAAAUGCGUAGAUAUCGAGAGGAACACCUGCGGCGAAGGCGGGUAGCUGGGCCGACACUGACGCUGAGGCGCGAAAGCCAGGGGAGCGAACGGG